UAAUUCUUGUACCUUUUGCAUCAUGAAUUAGCUAGAAUUUAUUAAGCAAAAAGCAUUUUAGUUUAAUACCCCGAAACCAGGUGAGCUACUUCAAGACAGCCUAUAAUGCAGGGCAACCCCGUCUCUGUGGCAAAAGAGUGGGAAGAGCUUCAAGUAGAGGUGACAGACCUACCGAACCUAGUUAUAGCUGGUUGCCUGGGAAUUGAAUAGUAGUUCAGCCUCUUGAAUUUUUUUUAAGUCAAAAGAGUUAGUCAAAAGAGGUACAGCUCUUUUGAAAUAGAUACAACUCUUCCGGGAGGGAAUAGAUCAUAAAAUUUUAAGGCCUGUAUCUUAUCGUGGGCUUGAAAGCAGCCAUCCUAACAGAAAGCGUUAAAGCUCAAAUAUAUAAUAUUGAUAUAUAAAUCUCAACCCCCCAGCACUACCAGGCCCUUCCAUGCAGCCAUGGAAGAAUUUAUGCUAAUAUUAGUAAUAAGAGAAGAAUCUCUCCUCGCACAUGUGUAAAUCGAAACGGACCUUCCACCGAACAUUAACGGGCCCAUUAAAAGAGGGUAAUAAAUUGAUACCAGAAAACCACUUCCCGUUAACCCUACACUGGCGUGCUACCAAGGAAAGGUUAAAAGAAAGAGAAGGAACUCGGCAAUAAAACCCCGCCUGUUUACCAAAAACAUCGCUUCUUGC
rnacentral:rRNA from 1 species